UACGGGGGGGGCAAGCGUUGUUCGGAAUUACUGGGCGUAAAGGGCUCGUAGGUGGCCAACUAAGUCAGACGUGAAAUCCCUCGGCUUAACCGGGGAACUGCGUCUGAUACUGGAUGGCUUGAGUUUGGGAGAGGGACGCGGAAUUCCAGGUGUAGCGGUGAAAUGCGUAGAUAUCUGGAGGAACACCGGUGGCGAAGGCGGGUUCCUGGGCCUUAACUGACGCUGAGACACGAAAGCUAGGGGAGCAAACAGG
rnacentral:rRNA from 1 species